AUCUCUGAUACCUUUACUACCAGGUAUUGAUCCUACAGGUCAUCUCUGAUACCUUUACUACCAGGUAUUGAUCCUACAGGUCAUCUCUGAUACCUUUACUACCAGGUAUUGAUCCUACAGGUCAUCUCUGAUACCUUUACUACCAGGUAUUGAUCCUACAGGUCAUCUCUGAUACCUUUACUACCAGGUAUUGAUCCUACAGGUCUCUAGCUGAUACCUUUACUACCAGGUAUUGAUCCUGGAGGUCUCUAGCUGAUACCUUUACUACCAGGUAUUGAUCCUACAGGUCAUCUCUGAUACCUUUACUACCAGGUAUUGAUCCUGGAGGUCAUCUCUGAUACCUUUACUACCAGGUAUUGUGUGAUUUGUAGUUCUUUACGGGAGUCACAUUAGAUAGUUAAUCCAGAGAUUUGUAGUUCUUUACGGGAGCCACAUUAGAUAGUUAAUCCAGAGAUUUGUAGUUCUUUACGGGAGUCACAUUAGAUAGUUAAUCCAGAGAUUUGUAGUUCUUUACAGGAGUCACAUUAGAUAGUUAAUCCAGAGAUUUGUAGUUCUUUACGGGAGCCACAUUAGAUAGUUAAUCCAGAGAUUUGUAGUUCUUUACGGGAGCCACAUUAGAUAGUUAAUCCAGAGAUUUGU